GCUCAGAUUGAACGCUGGCGGCAGGCCUAACACAUGCAAGUCGAGCGGCAGCACGGGUACUUGUACCUGGUGGCGAGCGGCGGACGGGUGAGUAAUGCCUAGGAAUCUGCCUGGUAGUGGGGGAUAACGUUCGGAAACGAACGCUAAUACCGCAUACGUCCUACGGGAGAAAGCAGGGGACCUUCGGGCCUUGCGCUAUCAGAUGAGCCUAGGUCGGAUUAGCUAGUUGGUGAGGUAAUGGCUCACCAAGGCGACGAUCCGUAACUGGUCUGAGAGGAUGAUCAGUCACACUGGAACUGAGACACGGUCCAGACUCCUACGGGAGGCAGCAGUGGGGAAUAUUGGACAAUGGGCGAAAGCCUGAUCCAGCCAUGCCGCGUGUGUGAAGAAGGUCUUCGGAUUGUAAAGCACUUUAAGUUGGGAGGAAGGGCAGUUACCUAAUACGUAAUUGUUUUGACGUUACCGACAGAAUAAGCACCGGCUAACUCUGUGCCAGCAGCCGCGGUAAUACAGAGGGUGCAAGCGUUAAUCGGAAUUACUGGGCGUAAAGCGCGCGUAGGUGGUUCGUUAAGUUGGAUGUGAAAUCCCCGGGCUCAACCUGGGAACUGCAUUCAAAACUGUCGAGCUAGAGUAUGGUAGAGGGUGGUGGAAUUUCCUGUGUAGCGGUGAAAUGCGUAGAUAUAGGAAGGAACACCAGUGGCGAAGGCGACCACCUGGACUGAUACUGACACUGAGGUGC
rnacentral:rRNA from 2 species